GUGCCAGCAGCCGCGGUAAUUCCAGCUCCAAUAGCGUAUAUUAAAGUUGUUGCAGUUAAAAAGCUCGUAGUUGGAUCUCGGGUCCAGGCCUGCGGUCCGCCUCGCGGCGGUUACUGCUCGUCCUGGCCUACCUGCCGGUGUGUCCCUUGGUGCUCUUGAUUGAGUGUCUCGGGCGGCCGGAACGUUUACUUUGAAAAAAUUAGAGUGUUCAAAGCAGGCGUGUCGCCUGAAUAAUGGUGCAUGGAAUGAUGGAAUAGGACCUCGGUUCUAUUUUGUUGGUUUUCGGAGCUCGAGGUAAUGAUUAAGAGGGACUGACGGGGGCAUUCGUAUUGCGGUGUUAGAGGUGAAAUUCUUGGAUCAUCGCAAGACGAACUACAGCGAAAGCAUUUGCCAAGCAUGGUUUUCAUUAAUCAAGAACGAAAGUCA
rnacentral:rRNA from 1 species